UACGGAGGGUGCGAGCGUUGUCCGGAAUCACUGGGCGCAAAGGGCGCGUAGGUGGCCCGUUAAGUGGCUGGUGAAAUCCCGCGGCUCAACUGCGGGGCUGCCGGUCAGACUGGCGAGCUAGAGCACGGUAGGGGCAGAUGGAAUUCCCGGUGUAGCGGUGGAAUGCGUAGAGAUCGGGAAGAAUACCAGUGGCGAAGGCGGGUCUCUGGGCAGUAACUGACGCUGAUGCACGAAAGCUAGGGGAGCAAACAGG
rnacentral:rRNA from 1 species